rnacentral:rRNA from 1 species
AACGAACGCUGGCGGCGUACUUAACACAUGCAAGUCGAACGAGAAAGGGGGCUUCGGCUCCUGAGUACAGUGGCGAACGGGUGCGUAACACGUAAGCAAUCUACCCCAGACACUGGGAUAACUUUCCGAAAGGAAAGCUAAUACUAGAUAGUGUCCUUGAGGCAUAAGUUGCAAGGGGAAAGCGGGCCUAGGUUUUCUGCUCGCGGUCUGGGAUGAGCUUGCGGCUCAUUAGCUUGUUGGUAGGGUAACGGCCUACCAAGGCGACGAUGGGUAGCUGGUCUGAGAGGAUGAUCAGCCACACUGGCACUGAGACACGGGCCAGACUCCUACGGGUGGCUG